UGAGGAAUAUUGGACAAUGGGCGCAAGCCUGAUCCAGCCAUGCCGCGUGCAGGAUGACGGUCCUAUGGAUUGUAAACUGCUUUUGUACAGGAAGAAACACUCCCUCGUGAGGGAGCUUGACGGUACUGUAAGAAUAAGGAUCGGCUAACUCCGUG
rnacentral:rRNA from 1 species